GACGAACGCUGGCGGCGUGCUUAACACAUGCAAGUCGAACGGAAAGGCCCUGCUUUUGUGGGGUGCUCGAGUGGCGAACGGGUGAGUAACACGUGAGUAACCUGCCCUUGACUUUGGGAUAACUUCAGGAAACUGGGGCUAAUACCGGAUAGGAGCUCCUGCUGCAUGGUGGGGGUUGGAAAGUUUCGGCGGUUGGGGAUGGACUCGCGGCUUAUCAGCUUGUUGGUGGGGUAGUGGCUUACCAAGGCUUUGACGGGUAGCCGGCCUGAGAGGGUGACCGGCCACAUUGGGACUGAGAUACGGCCCAGAGUCCUACGGGAGGCAGCAGUGGGGAAUAUUGCACAAUGGGCGGAAGCCUGAUGCAGCAACGCCGCGUGCGGGAUGACGGCCUUCGGGUUGUAAACCGCUUUCGCCUGUGACGAAGCGUGAGUGACGGUAAUGAGUAAAGAAGCACCGGCUAACUACGUG
rnacentral:rRNA from 1 species